rnacentral:rRNA from 1 species
GGAUACGGCCGAACUAGUUGAAUACACACGAUCUUGUGCGACCGCGGAAUUUGAGCAACUGCAGACCGGAAUAGUUCUUGGAUGGGUGACCGCCUGGAAAUCCGUGAAGCCAUAUCCG